GAAAUACUCCCUCGGUCCGGAAAAACUUGUCAUCAAAAUGGAUGAAAAUGGAUGUAUCUACAACUAAAAUACAUCCAGAUAAAUCCAUUUCAAUGACAAAUAUUUCCGGACGGAAGGAGUAUAUU
rfam:Triticum aestivum genome assembly, contig: Triticum_aestivum_CS42_TGACv1_scaffold_210783_3AS